rnacentral:antisense_RNA from 1 species
AGUGAGAAUCUACUUUUUGAAACAAGUUGAAAAAAAGCAUUUGUCUACAAAAGAACAUCAGAUACUGCACUUUUUACAAAUUGAAUGUUUGUGGCAAGCCUGCAUCGAGAAAGUCCAUUGAUGCCAUUUUUUUCAAACAGAAAAGUAAAGAUGUUUCUGGAAGGCACCAGGAGUCCUGUCUGCACAGAGCACCAUGAAGUUCACCUGCAUUGAGUUCUUUCCCUUUGUACAACACUUACUCCCAGACCAAAAAAUAACUCCUUCUCUCCAAUCUGUGUUCCAGGCAAACCAAUAGACUCCAAUUGUCUCCUGAAAUGCUUAAAGUGCUUUUCCAAUAUCCACUAUGUUUGGGCAACAUAUUAAAAAUAUACAACAAAAA